GGGGUUCUGAAAGCGAACACCGCGGGGCAAGAUGGCGGUAGUGCGUCGGCAGCUGCCCCGGGUCUGGCAGAACUCGGGUGUUUUGGGCUGAGACAGUGGCAGCUGCGGCCCCGACCCCAGGUGCGGGGACCUCCGGCGAAUAAAGGUCGGCCUGCGGGUAGGCCGGUAGGGCCUGCGGUCCGGCCUGCGGGAGAACUGGGUCGUCAGUUCUCCGAGUGGUGGGGCUGGGGACUUUGAGGGAGGUGGCUCUAGGGCACAGUCCCUGCCUGGCCAGGUCGGAGGAACAAGUGCUGGGAUCUGGCUUGUGUGCUCCAGGGGCUCUUUCCGCGGCCCUUUCCACCUCUUUUCACUUUGGGGACGGUAGGCCUUUAUAAACGGACUAAUGCUGGGUGAUUUGUUCCUGUGGUUGUUGAUGCCGAGGAAAGACGCUGGGCCCCAGGACUCACCUAAACUGGAGUUCGAAUACUGUUCGCUCGCUGUGUGACCUUGGAAAAAAUAACAAGCUUUUCUGAAGUGAGAAGCUGUUCUCAGCCACGAGUCCUGUGCAAGAUCACUAAUGAUUACCUGGCAUUUCUGUGACACAGGCAGGUCCUCAGGGUUUGUGCAAGUUUGCAAACAUGUUCACCCUGUCUCAGACCUCGAGAGCAUGGUUCAUCGAUAGAGCCCGUCAGGCACGAGAAGAAAGGCUUGUGCAGAAGGAGCGGGAGCGGGCAGCUGUUGUGAUCCAGGCCCAUGUCCGGAGUUUUCUCUGUCGGAGUCGACUGCAGAGAGAUAUCAGGAGAGAGAUUGAUGACUUUUUUAAAGCAGAUGACCCUGAGUCCACUAAAAGAAGUGCACUUUGUAUUUUUAAGAUUGCCAGGAAACUGCUGUUCCUAUUCAGAAUCAAAGAGGAUAAUGAGAGAUUUGAGAAGUUGUGUCGCAGCAUCCUGAGCAGCAUGGAUGCUGAGAAUGAGCCUAAGGUGUGGUAUGUGUCCCUGGCUUGUUCUAAGGACCUCACCCUCCUUUGGAUUAAACAGAUCAAGAGCAUUUUGUGGUACUGCUGUGAUUUUCUCAAGCAGCUCAAGCCUGAAAUCCUGCAGGACUCCCGACUCAUCACCCUGUACCUCACGAUGCUUGUCACCUUCACAGACACUUCAACGUGGAAAAUUCUUCGGGGAAAAGGUGAAAGUCUUCGACCAGCGAUGAACCACAUUUGUGCAAAUAUAAUGGGACAUCUCAACCAGCAUGGAUUUUAUUCUGUGCUGCAGAUAUUGUUAACCCGUGGCCUGGCAAGACCCCGUCCUUGUCUAUCCAAAGGCACUUUAACAGCAGCCUUUUCUCUAGCGUUACGCCCUGUGAUUGCUGCACAGUUCUCAGACAAUCUGAUUCGGCCAUUCCUCAUCCACAUCAUGUCUGUGCCUGCUCUGGUGACUCAUCUCAGCACAGUGACCCCUGAGCGCCUCACUGUUUUAGAAUCCCAUGACAUGCUUCGUAAAUUCAUCAUAUUUUUAAGAGACCAAGAUCGAUGCCGUGAUGUAUGUGAAAGUUUAGAAGGAUGCCAUACGCUUUGUCUAAUGGGCAACCUCCUACACUUGGGCUCCCUCAGCCCCAGAGUGUUAGAGGAGGAGACAGAUGGGUUCGUGAGUUUGCUCACCCAGAUGCUGUGCUACUGUCAGAAGUACGUGUCUCAGAAGAAGUCCAACCUGACCCACUGGCAUCCUGUCCUUGGCUGGUUCUCCCAAUCUGUGGAUUAUGGCCUUAACGAGUCAAUGCACUUGAUCACCAAACAGCUGCAGUUCCUGUGGGGGGUGCCUCUGAUCCGGAUCUUCUUCUGUGACAUCCUGAGCAAGAAGCUACUGGAGAGCCAGGAGCCAGCCCACGCACAGCCAGCAUCCCCUCAGAAUGUGCUCCCAGUGAAGAGUCUCCUAAAGCGUGCUUUUCAAAAGUCGGCAUCAGUCCGGAAUAUUCUCAGGCCUGUCGGGGGUAAACGGGUCGACUCUGCAGAAGUCCAGAAGGUUUGCAACAUCUGUGUCCUCUACCAGACCUCGCUGACAACUCUCACACAGAUUCGGCUGCAGAUACUCACAGGUCUCACUUACCUUGAUGACCUGCUUCCCAAACUGUGGGCAUUUAUCUGUGAGCUCGGGCCCCACGGAGGGUUAAAGCUCUUCUUGGAAUGCCUGAACAAUGACACUGAAGAGUCCAAGCAACUCUUGGCCAUGCUGAUGCUGUUCUGUGACUGUUCGCGGCACCUCAUCACAAUCCUUGAUGACAUUGAAGUUUAUGAAGAACAGAUUUCAUUCAAACUGGAAGAGCUGGUCACUAUCUCCUCUUUCCUGAAUUCCUUUGUGUUUAAGAUGAUCUGGGAUGGAAUUGUAGAGAACGCCAAGGGUGAGACCUUGGAGCUGUUCCAGUCUGUCCACGGGUGGCUUAUGGUGCUGUACGAGCGGGACUGCCGGCGGCGCUUCACCCCCGAGGACCACUGGCUGCGAAAGGAUCUCAAACCUAGCGUGCUCUUCCAAGAACUCGACAGGGACAGAAAACGGGCACAGUUGAUCCUGCAGUACAUCCCACAUGUCAUCCCUCACAAAAACAGAGUUCUACUGUUUCGAACCAUGGUUACCAAGGAGAAGGAGAAACUGGGGCUGGUGGAAACCAGCUCUGCCUCCCCGCAUGUCACUCACAUCACCAUCCGCCGGUCCAGGAUGCUGGAGGACGGCUACGAGCAGCUUAGGCAGCUCUCCCAGCACGCCAUGAAGGGGGUCAUCCGUGUGAAGUUUGUCAAUGACCUCGGGGUGGACGAAGCAGGGAUUGAUCAAGAUGGUGUUUUUAAGGAGUUCUUGGAAGAGAUCAUCAAGAGAGUUUUUGACCCAGCACUCAAUCUGUUCAAGACAACCAGUGGGGAUGAGAGGCUGUACCCCUCACCCACAUCCUACAUCCAUGAGAAUUACCUGCAGCUCUUCGAGUUUGUGGGGAAGAUGCUGGGGAAGGCUGUGUAUGAGGGAAUUGUGGUGGACGUGCCAUUUGCAUCCUUCUUCCUGAGCCAACUGCUUGGGCACCACCACAGCGUCUUCUAUAGCUCGGUGGAUGAACUGCCUUCUCUGGACUCCGAGUUCUAUAAAAACCUCACCUCCAUCAAGCGCUAUGAUGGGGACAUCGCUGACCUGGGCCUGACGCUGUCUUACGACGAGGACGUCAUGGGUCAGCUUGUUUGCCAUGAACUGAUUCCUGGAGGGAAGACCAUUCCUGUUACAAAUGAAAAUAAAUGGGUGACGUGUCACAUGGAUCCUGCCACCCCCUGAGAGGACACGCAUUGCCAGGUGUUGCAGCUUGGGGGUGACGAAUUAGCUACAUCCAUCUGAUGGCACAUUUUCGAAUGCACACUCAAAUAAAAAACCAAACAGCUGCCCUCAUUAGCGGAUUCCGUUCCAUUAUCAAACCCGAGUGGAUCCGAAUGUUCUCAACUCCUGAACUGCAGCGUCUCAUCUCUGGCGACAAUGCUGAGAUUGAUCUGGAAGAUUUAAAGAAGCACACAGUCUACUACGGUGGUUUCCAUGGAAGUCACAGAGUCAUCAUCUGGCUCUGGGAUAUUCUGGCCUCCGACUUCACACCGGAUGAGAGAGCUAUGUUUCUGAAGUUUGUGACCAGCUGCUCCAGACCCCCGCUCCUGGGAUUCGCCUACCUCAAGCCUCCAUUCUCCAUCCGCUGCGUGGAGGUGUCGGACGAUCAGGACACCGGGGACACUCUGGGCAGCGUCCUCCGGGGCUUCUUCACCAUCCGCAAGCGGGAGCCAGGCGGCCGCCUGCCCACCUCCUCCACCUGCUUCAACCUGCUCAAGCUGCCCAACUACAGCAAGAAGAGCGUCCUCCGCGAGAAGCUGCGCUACGCCAUCAGCAUGAACACGGGCUUCGAACUCUCCUAGCUCCUGUCCCAGCCCUGCCUCCAGGGCUCCUGGGCUGCCAGGGACCUUCAGCUCCCAGAGGCAGUGUGGUCCCUGGGAAUGUGACCAACAUGCCAGGUGACGUUGGCCCCUAGACCCUCUCUAUAGCCAUGAGACUCCUUGUGGCCUCAAGAACUUUAGACGCCCACGACAGCACUACACAGCAUCUCCAGGUGAUGCCCAAGGCACAGGGCUGCAGAAAAUAAACCUCCAGAUUCCACCAACACGGGUCCAUUCUUCCUGGUGAUGGCAGAGGGGCUUCUUUUAGCUAGUUUGAUCUUUUGGGAGUCUGUCUUUCCUUAGCCGUCUGAGUGAGCUGUGUAUGAACAAGUCCCAGGAGUUCCAAGAGUCUAGAGUGGUUUUUGCAGCAUGGGUCUGAGUGUACAAAGCCUACUGUGCAUGAGAUCCUCUCCUUCCGUUUCUGAAAUCUCUUACUCAGGUAAGGCCUCGCCAAGCCUCUAUGCACCCCACAAAGUUUCUGCCUCCAUGCCGUCCACAGCGCCUCUUCCCAGACAGCCAGGCCCAUCUGCUGCCCAGGGAAGCGCAGGCGCCUGCUAGGGACGCUAUGGACACCGCGAGUCCAAGGCGCUGCUCCUGCCUUGAAGCCACGCGCUCCACGCUGCGGCCCUCCCACUUUCUGCGUCCUCAGCGGGCUGAGCUGCCAGGGAGCCUUCCCGGACCUGUUCCCGUCCUAUGCAUUCACAUUGGCAUCCUGGUUUGGGAGAAGAAAAACAAUGGCCCUUAGCAGCAGCCCCGUUUCCAGAACGUGCUGGCUGUUACCCAAAGCCUGCUUCUCCCGCGGAGGACGGCUGCCUUUGACCCUGCUUAUUUGUCUCACUGGUUAUCUAAUGAGGAACAAACACUAACCUAAGGUACACAUCCCAUCUGGGCGGUGGCUUCACUCCUGAGUCUGCAAAAUCCCAGGAAACUUGGGUCUUGCUGCCCAUCCUUCCUCAGCACAGGGAACCCGGAAGCCCGUUGCACUGACAGAGGCUCACACCCUCUGGGUUUUUUUUUUUUUUUUUUUUAACUUCAUUUCUCUUCCAACCCAUUGUGUUCCUCUGCCCUCAUUCUUUACCUUUGUUGUAAGAACUUCAGCUCCAGGGAACUGAGGCAGAGGCCCUGUUUGUGGUCUGUGUUGACAGCCACCCACCCUCUCCCACCUCAUGCUCCUGCACCUACACCACCAAGGUUGAUGCCAGAUUCGAAGCCAGGAAGGCCCAGUCCCUCCUCUGCUCUCCUCAAAGACGCAAAACAUUUUCCAACAAGAGCUGUCACAGUGGCAGCAAAGCAGGGGCCACCCAUCUCCACAGUCCUUCAGAGUUUCAGCUGCAUCCGGGUGUCCCACCCAGGUCGAGCCCCCAGGCUUCUGGAAAACAGUGUGUGCUCUACUUUGAUGGAAACAUGGCAAGGAAUUUAAAGACAGGAAUGUAUUAAUAUUAUUGAAGGUGUGUUCGUAACCUCUGAUUCUGUGGACUUGCCACUUUCUCCAAACGCUCGGUUCCUUUGAAGAUUUCUUCUGAACGUGUGUGCGCACGCUGGGCGGGUUUGUGCAUACAUGCGGGGACCCCAGACUGUCAGCACAGGGAAGAUGGAUCCCAUCCUAAUUUUUAUCACCUGAAGGUUGGAACCAGUGAGGGACUGGGAGAGAGUGAUUUAUAAGCACCAAUAUCAACUUCAUGUGGAUUUUUGACAAGGAGGGGUAGUUUGUAAUUUCAUUUAAAUUCUUUUCAGCAGCUGGAACUAUUGCACUAUCUGAAACACUGAAUCUCCUUUUGUAACUGGUGUUCACUGACACCUUGAUGGCUCUUGAUGGCUCUAAAAAGUUGUAGGAUUUUUUGUUUUUGUAGCUAACUUAUGGAUUGAGAUGUGAUCAAAGGCUUUAUUAAAUUUGUACUUCAGCAUA